rnacentral:lncRNA from 1 species
GAGAGUCUAUGUUUAUUAAAUUGUAGAAAGUCCUUGUUUUUUUUUUUAAACUUUUUAUGUAAAAGCUAAUUUUUUUAAAGACGAACACACAUCCUUAUUUAAAUUUAUGGUUUUCUUAAAUAAUGAGUUAACAGUUUAACCUUAACCCAAUUGGACUAUUGGGUUAAAUCAUUCUCGCAUUCGCACAUAUUUCAGUAUUUUAUAUUUUUGAAGGUCUUUGAUGUGAUGAGAAAGAAGGAGCAAAUGUUGCUAGCGGAAUUAGCAGCGGAGAAGACUAAUUUUGGGGCCAUUGAAGCUUAUGGCGAUAUAUUGAGUGUUUAGUUUGAUAAAUUUAGUCAAUCAUUCAUAAAUGUUGUUAAUUUUUAGUACAACAUUCUCUCCUCUCUCUCUCUCUCUCUCUCACGCACACACACAGAGUUCAUAAUCUUGUGGUAGGAAGAUUAUCCAAAUAGGUAGUCUGUUUCCUUAAAAAUUGGUUCGCUGAUAUUUUAUUUUUGUUUAAAUGUUGUUUAAAUGGUUAAUAAAUAUUGAGUUUUGACUCACUUUAGGCCUUUGUUUAUUUAUUUACUUUUUUUGGAGAGAAAAAAGAAAAGAAAAUUUAAGUGGUGGUUGGUAUAUCUAUGUCCUUGCAGAAAGAAAUUUUUUUCAAAUAUAUAGAGAGAGUUUAUCUUGUGGGAAUCAUUUUUUAUUUUUUGAAGAUCGCUGGAUUACUUAGAUAUAUGCUUAUGGCCUAUUUGUAUUAGUGCUUUAAUGGUAGAAUUGACUACACACAUUAUGUUUGGGUGAUAGAAAUAUUUUUUUGAUCAAGAGAAUAAAUGCUUGAAGUGUGAAUUUUUUUAUAUGACUCGACUAGAACUUUAUGUAUUAAUUGUCACCCAUCAUGUGUGCUUGCAUCUGCAGAAGAAGCUGCAAAAAUGGGUAAAAGACCAUAGGAAUCUGUAUCAACAAGCACAAGCUAAAAUGCAAAUGCUAAGGUAUGGAGACAAGUCAGCUCGAAAACGAAUGUAGGUUUGAACAUUCAAUCUUCUUGUACCUCAUUCUGAAAUCAAGUGUCAAGCAUGUGUGACGUGAAUUUGGGAAGCUUAAUUUUAGUUGAGUGGAAGCAUGAGUGUUUUACUUUAUUAACUUGUAUAACCCAUAGGACUAUAUCCCUGUUGCUAUUGAUGUUAUCCCUAAUGUUUAUUGAGAAAAGCAUGAUUAAGUUGAAC